AUCGCUUCUCAGCAUUUGGGCUAAGAUCGAAUGUAGUAUCUGUUCUCACCAGUUUAAAUGGUAAACGAGAAGCUUAUGUCUUAUUGUAAUAAAUUACUAGACUUCUACAUUGUCACCAAGUAUUUAUAUCAUAGUGCGGUUUUUCUUAUAGUGUAGCACAUUUUUCCAUGUGAAAUGUUUUAA
ensembl:snRNA U2 U2 spliceosomal RNA